rnacentral:lncRNA from 1 species
ACAGAUUCUCUCUGAGCCAAAUGGGUUAAGGGAGAAGUGAUGGAGGCGAUUCGAAGCUGUCUUUCCUACCCUCUUCAGUACCUCUUCCAGUGAUGUGAAGUUAAAACCAGGUAUUGUGAUUGUUCACCUCAGUUUUCAACUUCAUGAAGGUGCUUUUCUUGUAUUGCUUAAUUUGUUGUUCCUCUGGGGGGGUGUAUAAUUGCUGGAGGCUUCUAUUUGGCCGUCUUGCUCUCCCUUCUGUUGAAGAGUAAAAAGAUUUGUCACUAUUAGACAGAAUUCUCAUGUGACAAUAAUUGCUCAAACAGAAAUAACAGCUAUUAACAGAGUACAGGUCUGUUUCUUUACAAUGGUUUCCAUCACCCCUAUUGCAUUAUGCCCAGUCUAUUUUACUCAUUUGUGCCACCAGUAUGCCCUUGUAGGUCUUAAUCAACCUUUAUUCCUAAGGGCACCUAGAGAGAGGAUCCUUAAAAGGGAAAUGACAGUGCCAAUUGUUUGGGGAGGUGCCAAAAGACAGAUAACUUUUGGAAAACAGUACUUGACAGAAAAAAAAAAAAAAAAAAAGGAAACACCAGACUGAGCACAAUGGCUUAUGCCUAUAAUCCCAGUUCUUUGGGAAGCUGAGCGCAGGUGUUUGAGAACAGCCUGAGUACCACAGCAAGACCCCAUCUCUACCAAAAAAAAAAAAAAAAAAAAAAAAAAGCUAGGCAUGGUGGUGCACACCUGUAGUCUAAGCUAUUUAAGAGGCUGAGACAGGUGUCAGGGGAGGAUCCCUUGAGCCCAGGAGUUUGAGGCUGCAGUGAGCUAUGAUCACACCAUUGUACUCUAGCCUACGUGACAGAGUAAGACGCUGUCUCUAAAAAUAAAUUAAUUAAUUAAAUAAAAAAUUGUAAAAAGGAAACAACUUAGAGCAAAGUUAAUACAUUACAGCUCAUACUGGGCUAAGUAGAAAGCACAAGUGGUUCCGGUGAUUUAGAGCAGUGUGAGGAAAAAAAGACCAUUGAAAACUGUAUGAUGAAAAAGUUUUCCUGAAUCUCAGCUUCUGAUUUAUAAGAAGGCAAACCAGGAGUCUUCUUAACAGGUCAUAUGAACUUUAGAAAUAGGCAAAGACUCCCUGUGCAGCAGGGAUGCAGCCUUAAGUACUUUCUUUCUCACAGUUCAUGGAUGAAGACCGAAGGAACUGAACAGCAAUAACGGAGGUUUGGCUUAGGCUGAACAUUAGGAACAAACCCCCUUCCAAUAUUAUAUAUGUUAAAUCUGAG